rnacentral:rRNA from 1 species
UACGAAGGGGGCUAGCGUUGCUCGGAAUUACUGGGCGUAAAGCGCACGUAGGCGGCUUUCUAAGUCGGGGGUGAAAUCCUGGAGCUCAACUCCAGAACUGCCUUCGAUACUGGAAGCUCGAGUCCGGGAGAGGUGAGUGGAACUGCGAGUGUAGAGGUGAAAUUCGUAGAUAUUCGCAAGAACACCAGUGGCGAAGGCGGCUCACUGGCCCGGUACUGACGCUGAGGCACGGAAAGCGUGGGGAGCAAACAGG